UCAGCUUGUUGAUGUGAUUAUCCUUGUAGUAGUAUAAUAUGAUUUUGUGCCUUCUCUAUAACUUAAGAAUUGUGCAAUAAUAUGAUUUUGCGCCUUCUCUAUAACUUAAAAAACACUAAAACAGUCCUUAAAAUUAUGCCACUGAGGGCAAAUGUGAAAAAAUGGCCAUUAUAUAUUGAUACAUACCAUUCUCAUCCAAAUGGUCAAUGACAGUCUGUUAUAGUGGCAGAGCUGCAACGUACUUGAACAACCAACCCCGCAAUUCAAAACAACGUGAUAACGUACCAUUUCUUAGUGAGCUUUCCCUCCUUGUUCUACAUAUUUUAUAUCAGUGCAUAAUCCUCUUCGAUCGUCUAAUAUAUAGAAACCUAAAAUCAGACAAAUUAAGUCCAUAAGUCUUCAACAUAUAUAUAAAAGAGGAAUUAAAUUAUAUCCAUAUAACUUUUACAACUAUUAUAAUAAUUAUCAAAGUUCUAUGUCGCAUAAAAAAAACGUAAACAAUAACUUACGGAAGUUAUCACAUUGAUAAUCAGAGAAGCACAAGGGAAAUAAACCAACAAAUAUUGAGAAUGUUAAUACUGUAUUUGUAAGAGAAUGCGAAAGCAGGUUCAGAAUCUAAAUCACGUUAUGACAAAAUAUAAAUCUAACUUAUCUCUUUCUAACAAAAUUAAGUUAAGAUUAUAUAUGAAGUGAUGUAAUGAUAUUUAUUUUGACAAAAUUUGGAUAUGAAUUGAUGUAUCCUCGAUCAAUGUGUCCUUUGUAAACAUUGAUGCAAAUAAGGUUAAGUAACCAUUUUGACUUGGUCCAACCGAGUUAUAUAGUGGUGGAAGUGGACGCUUUAGGCGUUUUAACUUGGGCUUGGGGUUUUAACUUGUGAACCAUACGAUAAAUCUAACGAUUCAGAUUUAUUAUAAAAUAAUUUUAAAUAUUUUAAUAACUUGACUAGUGUGGACCAUUAGAUGUAAACGUUAUGAAUGGUGAGGAUUUUGUUGGAGGGAGUGGGAGAGGAUCGUCCUUAUCCUUUUAUAUAUAUAUAUAUAUAUAUAUAUAUAUAUAUAUAUAUAUAUAUACUGUCCGAAUUUGCACAUGUGAUUCAUUAAUAUUUUUUUUCUAUCUCUUCCCUCUUACAUCAUGUCAUGUCACUUAUAUAUCAUACAUAUAUAUAGUAGGUAUUGAAUAGCAUUUUCAAUGUUUAAAUAUAUUUUUUCAUAUUACGUAGCAGUUACUUAUUAGAAAAGAGCAAUUAAAAAAAAAAAAAAGGAGCAGGAAAGAGGCCCACGUCCUGCCAGAGGGUUAUACCAAAAAUUUCACCAUGAUUAAAAAAAACCUUAAAUCAAAGUCCAAAAAUUUCCUGAGUAAAAACUGUUGAAAAACAGAUCAUUUAUGGUGAAGAAGAUGAACUUUAAGAGAAUGACUCAGAAUUCUUGCAUGGUGGAACCAUGCAGACACAAAUGGCUGGUUUAUUAGGAGUAAAAAAAAAAAAAACAUCAAGAAACAACAUAGAGUGAGAGAUGAUGAAUUUGUGAGUCCCAUAUUUCAAAUGUGUUGUUAGAAGAGAUUUCCACCUCUGACCUUUGCAAUGUUAAACAAUGUUGCGAAGAGUUUCUUGAUGCCGCAGAGGACGAUCAUGUA
rnacentral:lncRNA from 1 species